rnacentral:lncRNA from 1 species
AAAUAAAAAACGAUAAAUAGACGGAAGAUUAAUCACCUGAAAGAGCACAAGUGGGUUUACGAGGGAGAUCAUGACCAGCAGCUUCUGGGCAUCGAUCAAUGGUGUGUUAGCAGAAAAUUUAUGGAGGAGGUGGUACGUGUCCAUUUUCAAUCUCAAAAUGAAAGAUUUCUCUAUUCAUAGAAAAUUUCUUAUUUGGGUAUUUAAUCUGUUGUUUUGUUGGGGAUGAUAUUUAAUUAAUUUGUUUCUUAGUUAUUGAUGUGCGCUUUUAAGAGAUCUAUAACUAAACAAGAGUUAAAUGAUGUACACGUGGAAUAUUAGGAGAUUAAAAAGGAAACAUGGGUGAUAUCCUAUUCUUUUAAACUUUCAGUUUAUUAAUUCUAAUAACUAUUUUUUGGCAAAUUAAAGAUACACUAAUUACAAAAGUAAAGUUGUUGUAGAUAUAUAAACAUAAAUAUAUCUUAAUUUGUGACAAUAAUUGUAAAUUACCAAAAAUAUAAUUAUAUUUUAAGCUAAAUUCACGAUUAGAAAAUUAUUUUCUAGUAACGAACGUGUUUAUUAUAAUCACAUUCUUGGUGUUACAAUUCUCUAGCCCAUUUGUAACUUCAGCCUAAAAUAACCCAACCCAAACAUCUAAACCCAACUUUCUUUUCUCUCGGAACCCAGACUUUUCCUCCAAUUGAAACCCAAAGCAUCUUCACCUUCUUCAAUUGUCCAUCAACAGUCGAACUUCACCAUCUCCAUGUGGAAACAACUCCUUGACUUCAACUUCUUCUUUUCCUUCAGCUUCGAAAUCACCUCCUCAACUUGAACAAGCUUCUCCUUCAGCUUCUUCACAAUAUCCACUGCCGAUUGAGUUGAGUUAAGCACAAUCCUUUUAUACAUACUACUUGGCCCGUCAUAUCGGUACCCUAUAAUCUUUCCUCUUGGAUGUGUAUGAAACAACCUUUUUUUUUUUUUUUUGGUAUCAUCAUUGCUCAUUCAAGAUCCAAAAGGCUCCGGGAACAAAUAGAUAUAUCUUUCCAAUGUGCCUAUGAAGAGUAUUACCUUAUCGGGAACAUCUUAUGUUAUAGCAUAAUCUUGAUGUGAUAACAUUAAAGGCACAUUGUUGAAUCAAGAUGAUAAAUAAGACAAAAGAGAUUACAAGGCUUGGUGUGACCUUGAAGAUAUGAGUAUAAAAAGUGUCCUCUACUCACAACUUCGCCCUGGUAGUAAUACAAAGUUGUGUUAUCAAAAUAAUUAGAUUGGAGAAAGAUGAUUUUUCUAAAGUUCUAAAAGAUUUAAGAGCUUCCCAUGAAUACUCAUCAAACACCCCUCUUUAUGUGCAGCUCAAACAACAACGUAAGAUCGUUGAGCUCAAAAAUUAUGAUUGUCAUUUCCUGAUUCAAUAGUUUCUUCCCGUAUCAAUUAUGUUUUUCACAACCUCACGAUAUAGAGCAAGAAAAAAAAAAUUGAACCAUUACCUAGCAGGAACUCUUCCUUUCUUUACCGAAUGAGGAACACAACAAGUAUAGGUUUACACUUCAGAUUUUUUCUCUUGGGUUUACCCACAACAUUCAGAUUCUCUUCGCCCCUCGGGGUCUCUUUCUCUCUUUUUUUUUUUUUUUUACUUUUAACUCUUUCCUCUUUCCCCGAAUGCCAUCUCCCCAAACUUCCCCCCUUGGCCUCUACCUGCGAACCCCGAAAGGUCUAGUCAUUUUCCCCCAUUUACGUUUUUACCUCAGCAUCUUUACUCCCUCGAACAGCCAUAUCACCGAAACAUGAAAACCCUCUUAAUGCUUCGUCCUUUGCUCUUUCUUCUUUCAGCUUCCAUCUCCUUUUCACUAUCCUCGUCAAACCCGAUACCCAUUUCUUCUUUCACCAUAUGAACUCUUUUCUCCUACGCCUCGAGUCUCUCUCCUGUUCUGUUUCUAGCUUUUUUCCAAAUCGUUGCAGAGGGUCCCUUCGUUUUCAGCUUCUUCUUCGUCUGCUACAUCAAACGCAGCAUUUUCCUUUUAUGCUUCAAUCACGUCUUUCCCCUCUCGUGCCCGACGCAUCUGCCCCUUGUCCUCUUCUUUUUCCUGUUCAGAUAAAUUCCCCAAGCCCUAGCCGAAAGAUUGAAGGUUUACCUUGGAAAUAGUGUCGUUUCACACUUGAAGCUUGGGUCAAUUUCUUUCUUUGCCAAGAAUGCGCCUACUUGUUGGAUUGGGAUGAGUCUUAAAAUGGUUGGUUUUUGGAGUGGGCUUAGGCAGAAUUUAAGUUGGGUUUAUCUUCUCCUCUUUCUUCUUUCCUUUUUGUUUUUUCUUUCUUUUAUUUAUUUAUUUAUUUUUAACACGAUAAACGAAAAUAAAAUCAA